GCCGCUGACGAUUCAAUCCUCUUGUUCGAGGUGCGGUGCAGUGGAAUUGAGACCCUGUUUACAGGGAGAACCCUCAGUGAAACUGCAUUCAUAUGAAUUUAAUGGAUUUAACCGAGGU